rnacentral:tRNA from 1 species
GUCCCCGUAGUGAAACGGAUAUCACGACAGACUUCGAAUCUGUUAGUGGGGGUUCGAAUCCUCCCGGGGACACCA